rnacentral:rRNA from 1 species
UACGUAGGGUGCAAGCGUUGUCCGGAUUUAUUGGGCGUAAAGAGCUCGUAGGCGGCUUGUCACGUCGGUUGUGAAAGCCCGGGGCUUAACCCCGGGUCUGCAGUCGAUACGGGCAGGCUAGAGUUCGGUAGGGGAGAUCGGAAUUCCUGGUGUAGCGGUGAAAUGCGUAGAUAUCUAGAGGAACGCCAAAGGUGAAGACAGGCGACUGGGCCGAUUCUGACGCUGAGGCACGAAAGCGUGGGGAGCGAACGGG